rnacentral:rRNA from 1 species
GACGAACGCUGGCGGCGUGCUUAACACAUGCCAGUCGAACGCUGAAGCACCAGCUUGCUGGUGUGGAUGAGUGGCGAACGGGUGAGUAAUACGUGAGUAACCUGCCCUUGACUCUGGGAUAAGCCCGGGAAACUGGGUCUAAUACUGGAUGCUACAUGUCACCGCAUGGUGGUGUGUGGAAAGGGUUUACUGGUCUUGGAUGGGCUCACGGCCUAUCAGCUUGUUGGUGAGGUAAUGGCUCACCAAGGCGACGACGGGUAGCCGGCCUGAGAGGGUGACCGGCCACACUGGGACUGAGACAAGGCCCAGACGCCUACGGGAGGCAGCAGUGGGGAUGAUUGCACAAGGGGCGAAAGCCUGAUGCAGCUACGCCGCGUGAGGGAUGACGGCCUUCGGGUUGGAAACCUCGUUCAGCAGGGAAGAAGCCACAAGUGACGGUACCUGCAGAAGAAGCGCCGGCUAACUACGUG